rnacentral:rRNA from 1 species
AUUGAACGCUGGCGGCAGGCCUAACACAUGCAAGUCGAGCGGAUGAAGGGAGCUUGCUCCUGGAUUCAGCGGCGGACGGGUGAGUAAUGCCUAGGAAUCUGCCUGGUAGUGGGGGAUAACGUCCGGAAACGGGCGCUAAUACCGCAUACGUCCUGAGGGAGAAAGUGGGGGAUCUUCGGACCUCACGCUAUCAGAUGAGCCUAGGUCGGAUUAGCUAGUUGGUGGGGUAAAGACCUACCAAGGCGACGAUCCGUAACUGGUCUGAGAGGAUGAUCAGUCACAUUGGAACUGAGACACGGUCCAGACUCCUACGGGAGGCAGCAGUGGGGAAUAUUGGACAAUGGGCGAAAGCCUGAUCCAGCCAUGCCGCGUGUGUGAAGAAGGUCUUCGGAUUGUAAAGCACUUUAAGUUAGGAGGAAGGGCAGUAAGUUAAUACCUUGCUGUUUUGACGUUACCAACAGAAUAAGCACCGGCUAACUUCGUG